rnacentral:rRNA from 1 species
GACGAACGCUGGCGGCGUGCUUAACACAUGCAAGUCGAACGGAAAGGCCCUGCUUUUGUGGGGUGCUCGAGUGGCGAACGGGUGAGUAACACGUGAGUAACCUGCCCUUGACUUUGGGAUAACUUCAGGAAACUGGGGCUAAUACCGGAUAGGAGCUCCUGCUGCAUGGUGGGGGUUGGAAAGUUUUGGCGGUUGGGGAUGGACUCGCGGCUUAUCAGCUUGUUGGUGGGGUAGUGGCUUACCAAGGCUUUGACGGGUAGCCGGCCUGAGAGGGUGACCGGCCACAUUGGGACUGAGAUACGGCACAGACUCCUACGGGAGGCAGCAGUGGGGAAUAUUGCACAAUGGGCGGAAGCCUGAUGCAGCAACGCCGCGUGCGGGAUGACGGCCUUCGGGUUGUAAACCGCUUUCGCCUGUGACGAAGCGUGAGUGACGGUAAUGGGUAAAGAAGCACCGGCUAACUACGUG